rnacentral:lncRNA from 1 species
AGCCUCAACUUUGCCACCAUGUUAGUUUUUUAGUUAAACUAGAACACUAAAAGGAGGAUGUGCUCCUUACUUGCAUGCCUCUUAUCUUAGGAGCUGAGCUCCCUUUGGAGAGUUAACUCUCCAUCCACUAAGAAAAUAGCUGCCCACCUUGCCUAAUUCCCAUAUAACUAAGACUAGAUUUUGUUAUAAAUUAUUCUUACUUGCUUGGGCUUGACCUAAUCCAAUCGUGCACUAC